rnacentral:rRNA from 1 species
UACGGGGGGGGCGAGCGUUGUCCGAAGUUACUGGGCGUAAAGCGCGUGUAGGCGGGUUGUUAAGUCCGCUGUGAAAGCCCGGUGCUCAACGCCGGAGGGUCGGUGGAUACUGGCAGUCUUGAAGUGGCUAGGGGGAAAUGGAAUUACCGGUGUAGCGGUGAAAUGCGUAGAUAUCGGUAGGAACACCAGUGGCGAAGGCGGUUUCCUGGUCCGACACCGACGUUCAGGCACGAAAGCGUGGGGAGCAAACAGG